CCUACGGGCGGCUGCAGUGAGGAAUAUUGGUCAAUGGACGAGAGUCUGAACCAGCCAUGCCGCGUGCAGGAUGACUGCCCUAUGGGUUGUAAACUUCUUUUAUACGGGGGUAAAACGUUCCACGUGUGUCUUUUUGUAUGUAUCAUAUGAAUAAGGAUCGGCUAACUCCGUGCCAGCAGCCGCGGUAAUACGGAGGAUCCGAGCGUUAUCCGGAUUUAUUGGGUUUAAAGGGUGCGUAGGUGGUUUGUUAAGUCAGAGGUGAAAGUUCGCGGCUCAACCGUAAAAUUGCAGUUAAAACUGGAAGACUAGAGAACAGUAGAGGUGGGCGGAAUUCGUGGUGUAGCGGUGAAAUGCUUAGAGAUCACGAAGAACACCGAUUGCGAAGGCAGUUCACUAGACUAUAACUGACACUGAGGCACGAAAGCGUGGGGAGCAAACAGGAUUAGAUACCCGAGUAGUC
rnacentral:rRNA from 1 species